UGUAUGAAAGAGUAAGUCCUAACACUGGCCAAUAACUGGCUUUCUUUUAACAGUUUGUGAAUCUACAUGGACUGCAUGAUACUUAAGUUUCUUAUUUGUCUUAGAACAAGGAUUGCAUUGGCGAUUCUUCAUUCCCUGUCAUCAACAACCAAUCUCAGUUUUCUGUUGCACAUGCACGGUCCAACAAGGCAUACAUGAACAAGUUGGAGAACAAGGUUUCACGUCUGGAAGAAGAGAAUGAAAGGCUCAAUAAGCAGAAGGUCGGCAUUUCAUCUCUCUUUGCGAUUUUUUAUUUUUUUUCUAAAUGGGGUUGCAGGACCAUGCAGAGUUAGUUAUAUCUAAGUUUUGGUCGGAUAUUGCCUGAGAAUUAGAUUGUGUUUGUUUUCCUUUCAGUUACAUUUUAAGGCAUCUUAUGUUACAAAAAGCUAGGAUUCAGUGGCCUUAUUGUU